rnacentral:tmRNA from 1 species
GGGGAUGAUCGGUUUCGACAUUGCCUGCGUGAUUGUGAGAAGCGGGUCGAGGAUGCAGCCUUAUCUCGUAAACGAUGGUUGCAAACUAUAAGUGCCAAUAAAUCACGCACUGACUUCGCCCUCGCUGCCUAAGCGAGCGCACUAAAAAGUCCGUCAGCCCGGGGAUGCUCUCGAUCCGGUUCCUGACGUCAUCUAGAGAGAUUGCUCCGUAGUUACGCCUGAGGGCUACGGGGGACUUGCACUCUGGCUGGGCUUGUCGGUUUAGCUGUCAGUGGCAAAUUCCGGAGCCGAGUAGAACGAUUUCGCUGAAUACACCCGUAGAAGGCAUAUGACCACAGCAGUGGACCGGGGUUCAAUUCCCCGCAUCUCCACCA